UCUAAGUAUAACCUGCCAGACAGGGGAAACUGCGUACGGCUCAUUACACCAGCCUUAAUUUACUUGACCUUGACAACCUACUUGGAUAACUGUGGUAAUUCUAGAGCUAAUACAUGCACCAAAGCUCCGAUCCUCGCGGAGAGGAGCGCAUUUGUUCGCCACAAAACCAAGCGCCCAUCUGGGCGUCCAGUGCUGAACCAGAACAACUCAGCUGAUCGCACGGUCUUGUACCGGCGACGUGUCUUUCAAGUGUCUGCCUUAUCAACUUUCGAUGGUAGUGUACCUGACUACCAUGGUUGUGACGGGUAACGGAGGAUAAGGGUUCGACUCCGGAGAAGGGGCCUGAGAAAUGGCCACUACGUCUAAGGAUGGCAGCAGGCGCGCAAAUUACCCACUCUCAACGCGAGGAGGUAGUGACGAGAAAUAACGAGACCGUUCUCAUACGAGGCCGGUUAUUGGAAUGGGUACAAUUUAAA
rnacentral:rRNA from 1 species